UUUACCUGUAGUAACAAAAGAGAGGCAUAUCGACAUUAAUUUUUUUACGGAUUUUUUUAUGUGUAUUUUUGGAGAAAAUAGACUACGGCAUACACCUAUCGUUAUAAAGGAUAUAUAUAAAUUCGUAUAAACUUCAAUAACCAAACGGAAAAAAGCAAAAAAAGGGUGAUUUUCAUAGUUUUUGAGCCUAUAAAUCUGAUUUUAUCAUCAGUUUGGCCACACCAUCUCCAAUUCGCUCCAAUUUUCGAGAUAUGCCACUAAAAGUGUGCCUGUCAUGGCGGCUCCAACGGCGUUGUUAUGAAAUGAAAAUGGAAUCAUAUCAUUACGAACCGUUACAAAAUCGUACGAAAUCAGACGAAAUCGGACGAAAUUGGCAUAUUGACUAAAAAUUGGUCAUGUACACACUUCAAAAAUACCUUGUAACGACAUUUUUCAAUUUCGAGGACAAAAUAUUGAUGUACAACAUUCCUCGUAAUGACGAGGAAACAAGUCGUUAGACUUAAAUUUUGCUGAAGGUUGAGGUACACCUACCAAUGGUAUAUCGUGGAAUAUGCGUUACAGGUCGAUCAAAGCUGUGAAUACGUCGAUUAAAUUUUCGAAGUGAAAGCAAUUUUCAUUAGAAAAUCGCGUAAUUCAAGGAAUUGAAAAUAAACGUUAAAAAAAAAAUAAAAUAAUUAUAAUAUUUCAUCUUUUUUAGAUGUUGGAGAAUACCAAUUGAACAGAAUAUGUGGAAAUCUUGAGUUUUGCUUUAUUUGUGAAUCAGUCAAAUGCAUUUCAAAUAAUACAAAUUCCAACAAUACGGUCUCAAUGGUUACUACAACGAAUACUUCAACAGGUGCUUCAAUGAAACAAAAUCGAUGGCACGACUUGGAUUUGUCAUUCGCAGUACAAGACAAUUCAAAGAUCCAUACACAUUAAAGGCACUUUUUUGCUCUCUAGUUCGCUCAAUACUCGAGUACUCAUCUGUCAUCUGGUCGCCAUCCUAUGCUAACCACAUUAGUCGCAUUGAGUCCAUACAGAAGAAAUUCCUUCUAUAUUCUCUCAGAAACAUUUAUCGUAAUAUUGAGAGACCAGACCUUCCAUCUUAUAAGGCUCGACUCAAAUUGCUGUCUAUGGAUUCGUUAUACUCAAGAAGAGUUUCAACUGAUCUCAUAUUUUUACACAGAGUUAUUUAUGGCCAUAUUGAUUCACCAGAAAUUUUCUCACGCAUAAACUUCAACACUCGAAUAAAUAUACGAAAGAAAGACAAUCUGAUAUACCUUCCAAUUUGCCGUACCAAUUUUGGUCAACAGCAAUCAUUAUAUAGGAUGUGUAGUACAUAUAAUCGUUACUCAACGUCAUUCGAUUUCAAUGCAACACCUCAGCUCAUUAGGCAAAUUGUAAAUAACACAUUAUCGAACUGAUUGUAUCUCAUAAUAAUUAAUUGUUUAACCAUUGCAAUCGGUUUAAUCCGGUUGUAAGAAUGCCACUUCGAAAUCGUUAGGAUUGGUGGCUAAACCGUGAUUAAAAUCGGUGCACUUCUUCGGUUGCAAUGGCAUAAUAAACAUGUAUAUUGUUAUUUUUUUCUCAUUGUUAUUAUUAUUGUCUUAAUACCUGUAGGAAAAUAUUCUGUUUGGUAAUAAAGAAAUUAAAUUAAAUUAAACAUGGAAAUGUGUAAAUAUACAAUCAAAUGUGGAAUAAAAUAUAUAAAUUGACAGAAAA